GCCGGCCUAGCUCAAUCGGAUAGCAGCGUCAGACUCUUAAUCUGAAGGUUGCGGGUUCGACCCCCGCGGUUGGUU